rnacentral:tRNA from 1 species
GAGGGGUUAGCUCAGUUGGUAGAGCGCACCACUUGUAAUGGAGAGGUCCCGGGGUCGAUACCC